GCAAGUCGGACGGCAGCACAGAGAAGCUUGCUUCUUGGGUGGCGAGUGGCGAACGGGUGAGUAACAUAUCGGAACGUACCGAGUAAUGGGGGAUAACUAAUCGAAAGAUUAGCUAAUACCGCAUAUUCUCUGAGGAGGAAUGCAGGGGACCUUCGGUCCUUGCGUUAUUCGAGCGGCCGAUAUCUGAUUAGCUAGUUGGUGGGGUAAAGGCCGACAAAGGCGACGAGGAGUAGCGGGUCGGAGAGGAUGAUC
rnacentral:rRNA from 1 species